rnacentral:rRNA from 2 species
GAGUUUGAUCCUGGCUCAGAUUGAACGCUGGCGGCAGGCUUAACACAUGCAAGUCGAGCGGUAGCACAGGGGAGCUUGCUCCCUGGGUGACGAGCGGCGGACGGGUGAGUAAUGUCUGGGAAACUGCCUGAUGGAGGGGGAUAACUACUGGAAACGGUAGCUAAUACCGCAUAACGUCGCAAGACCAAAGAGGGGGACCUUCGGGCCUCUUGCCAUCAGAUGUGCCCAGAUGGGAUUAGCUAGUAGGUGGGGUAAUGGCUCACCUAGGCGACGAUCCCUAGCUGGUCUGAGAGGAUGACCAGCCACACUGGAACUGAGACACGGUCCAGACUCCUACGGGAGGCAGCAGUGGGGAAUAUUGCACAAUGGGCGCAAGCCUGAUGCAGCCAUGCCGCGUGUGUGAAGAAGGCCUUCGGGUUGUAAAGCACUUUCAGCGAGGAGGAAGGUGGUGAACUUAAUACGUUCAUCAAUUGACGUUACUCGCAGAAGAAGCACCGGCUAACUCCGUGCCAGCAGCCGCGGUAAUACGGAGGGUGCAAGCGUUAAUCGGAAUUACUGGGCGUAAAGCGCACGCAGGCGGUUUGUUAAGUCAGAUGUGAAAUCCCCGGGCUCAACCUGGGAACUGCAUUUGAAACUGGCAAGCUAGAGUCUCGUAGAGGGGGGUAGAAUUCCAGGUGUAGCGGUGAAAUGCGUAGAGAUCUGGAGGAAUACCGGUGGCGAAGGCGGCCCCCUGGACGAAGACUGACGCUCAGGUGCGAAAGCGUGGGGAGCCAACAGGAUUAGAUACCCUGGUAGCCCACGCUGUAAACGAUGUCGACUUGGAGGUUGUGCCCUUGAGGCGUGGCUUCCGGAGCUAACGCGUUAAAUCGACCGCCUGGGGAGUACGGCCGCAAGGUUAAAACUCAAAUGAAUUGACGGGGGCCCGCACAAGCGGUGGAGCAUGUGGUUUAAUUCGAUGCAACGCGAAGAACCUUACCUACUCUUGACAUCCAGAGAACUUUCCAGAGAUGGAUUGGUGCCUUCGGGAACUCUGAGACAGGUGCUGCAUGGCUGUCGUCAGCUCGUGUUGUGAAAUGUUGGGUUAAGUCCCGCAACGAGCGCAACCCUUAUCCUUUGUUGCCAGCGGUUCGGCCGGGAACUCAAAGGAGACUGCCAGUGAUAAACUGGAGGAAGGUGGGGAUGACGUCAAGUCAUCAUGGCCCUUACGAGUAGGGCUACACACGUGCUACAAUGGCAUAUACAAAGAGAAGCGACCUCGCGAGAGCAAGCGGACCUCAUAAAGUAUGUCGUAGUCCGGAUUGGAGUCUGCAACUCGACUCCAUGAAGUCGGAAUCGCUAGUAAUCGUAGAUCAGAAUGCUACGGUGAAUACGUUCCCGGGCCUUGUACACACCGCCCGUCACACCAUGGGAGUGGGUUGCAAAAGAAGUACGUAGCUUAACCUUCGGGAGGGCGCUUACCACUUUGUGAUUCAUGACUGGGGUGAAGUCGUAACA